CCUUGCCCAUUGACAAAAAAAGUUAUUCAUUUCCUCGUGUCAUUCCAUCAUCUCUCCCAUUUCUCCCAAACCUAAGUAAAGAGCGGCCUCAACUAUGGCGUGAGCUCUCUUGCCAACUGGCCAAGCACGCACUGGCGGACCCAUAGUGGCGUGAUCCACCAACUAAAGAGGAUUUUUUUUUAAAAAGUAAUUCAAAAAUGAUGAAAAUGGGUUUAAUCAAAGAACCCUUCCAGUUUCGAAUUCAAAGAAUGCCGUUACCAAACUGAAAUUCAAUGCAAGAAAUCGUCCUAUUCCCAACUCAAUCUCAUCACGAGAGAAACCCCUCGGCUCCGCGGCUUCCAAUUCUAAACUUUGAAGUAAAACCCAGUAAUUCAAUCCUCCCUUGCCAAUCACUUGCCUGACGCCCUUCGCCGACGAUUCAUUGACUGCAAACUGGAAAACAAGAUAGGAAAUGAUCAAGUCACGAGCUCUGUUUUCUUUGGCUUAUACACUUGGAAAUGUAAGGAGAUUAUUUCGGUUUUGUGCAAUUUUAUCUCGGGAUUAAAUUUCUUAUUCUCUUUAAUUUCUAGAAUUUCCAGAUUCCCUUUUUUUUUUUUUUUUUUUUUUUUGGUUCACUCAAAUUUUUUACUAUGGAAAAUAUUGAAGUGGUUAAUUUGAAUAUAUUAAUUGGAAAUCAUUGAAAAGUUAUUUUUUGUGAUGGAUAAUGGAUUCUGUAACUAAUACCAUUCUUCCUUCAUUUUCCUAUAUUUUUUUCAUUCAAAAAUGCAAUUAAGUCCCUUUUUUCUAUUAGUUGAAAUAUAUACUUAGUGCUGCCUGCUCCUACGCUGUCAUGCCAUUCCAUCGCUACUUGCUUCCAGUCCUCCACCAUGGUCCGCCAGAGUGUUAACGUUAGUAUAGUGUUCUGAUUUCACUUCUUGUCUAGUGGCUCCCGCCAAUUUUCGAUUUUUGUGAAUUUGUGAUUUGAAAAUUGUAAAAUUUGUGAUGGAUAAUUGAUUUAGGAUUUGUGUUUGUGAAUUGUGAUAUUUAGUUGGGG
rnacentral:lncRNA from 1 species